UGCUACAUUGGGAAGCUCUGUGGGUUGCCAAGCCGUAAGUUGAAGCUAAUACCUUAAAGCUACUCUCAGUUCGGAUUGUAGGCUGAAACUCGCCUACAUUCAGCUGGUGUUACUAGUAGUCGCAGAUUAGAGCGCUGCCGAGAAUGCGUUCCAGGGUAUUGUACACACCGCCCGUCACACCACGGGAGUUGGAGACGCCCGAAGCCGAUUAUCUAACCUUUUGGAAGAAGUCGUCGAAGGUGGAAUCAAUAACUGGGGUGAAGUCGUAACAAGGUAGCCGUAUCGGAAGGUGCGGCUGGAUCACCUCCUUUCUAAGGA
rnacentral:rRNA from 1 species